rnacentral:tRNA from 1 species
GCCCGAGUGGUGAAAUUGGUAGACACGCUAGACUAAGGAUCUAGUGGAGCGAUCCAUGCAGGUUCGAGUCCUGUCUCGGGCACCA